CUGCUGCCUCCCGUAGGAGUUUGGGCCGUGUCUCAGUCCCAAUGUGGCCGUCCACCCUCUCAGGCCG
rnacentral:rRNA from 1 species